UACGUAGGGUCCGAGCGUUGUUCGGAGUUACUGGGCGUAAAGAGUGCGUAGGCGGUUUUCUAAGUUUGGUGUGAAAUCUCCCGGCUCAACUGGGAGGGUGCGCCGAAGACUGGAAGGCUUGAGUAUGGGAGAGGUAAGCGGAAUUCCUGGUGUAGCGGUGAAAUGCGUAGAUAUCAGGAGGAACACCUGCGGUGUAGACGGCUUACUGGACCAUAACUGACGCUGAGGCACGAAAGCGUGGGUAGCAAACAGG
rnacentral:rRNA from 1 species